GACGUAGGGUGCGAGCGUUGUCCGGAAUUAUUGGGCGUAAAGAGCUCGUAGGCGGUCUGUCGCGUCGGUCGUGAAAACUUGGGGCUUAACCCUGAGCUUGCGGUCGAUACGGGCAUGACUGGAGUUCGGCAGGGGAGACUGGAAUUCCUGGUGUAGCGGUGAAAUGCGCAGAUAUCAGGAGGAACACCGGUGGCGAAGGCGGGUCUCUGGGCCGAUACUGACGCUGAGGAGCGAAAGCGUGGGGAGCGAACAGG
rnacentral:rRNA from 1 species